AUGUCAAGAAUGCCUACAAGUAGCCACCACCUAGGUUCUCUUCCUAAUGGCAUGGUUUGUCGUCUUCAUCACUGUCUAUAUGGCCCUAAGCAAACACCUCAGGCCUGGUUUGAGCGCUUUGUCUCAGUGGUGAUUGCGGCUAGUUUUUGGCGAGUGCUCAUUAUACUACACUUUCGAUCCACCAUUCAGCUCGUGGUCAAACACUUCUUCUACAUGUUGAUCAUCACUAGCAACGACUGUAAGAACAUUACCUUGGUGAAGGCUCGUCAUAGUGAAUUUCUUAUGUCCGAUCUUGGUCCUCUUUGGUACUUCCUUGAGAUUGAGGUUUAUUCUACCUCUAAUGACUUCUUUAUUUUCUAA
rnacentral:rRNA from 1 species